rnacentral:rRNA from 1 species
AACAGCUCAAAUUUGAAAUCUGGCGUCUUUGGCGUCCGAGUUGUAAUUUGCAGAGGAUGCUUUUGGGCAGCCGCCGGUCUAAGUUCCUUGGAACAGGACGUCAUAGAGGGUGAGAAUCCCGUAUGUGACCGGCCAGGCACCCUCUACAAAGCUCCUUCGACGAGUCGAGUUGUUUGGGAAUGCAGCUCUAAAUGGGAGGUAAAUUUCUUCUAAAGCUAAAUACCGGCCGGAGACCGAUAGCGCACAAGUAGAGUGAUCGAAAGAUGAAAAGCACUUUGGAAAGAGAGUUAAAAAGCACGUGAAAUUGUUGAAAGGGAAGCGCUUGCAACCAGACUUGCCAACGGUGUUCGGCCGGUCUUUUGACCGGUUUAUUCUCCGCGAGCAGGCCAGCAUCAUUUGGGACCGUCGGAUAAAAGUUUUAGGAACGUGGCUCCCCCUGGAGUGUUAUAGCCUAAUUCACAAUACGGCGUGACUCGAGUGAGGUCCGCGCUUCGGCUAGGAUGCUGGCGUAAUGGUUGUAAGCGGCCCGUCUUGAAACACGGACCAAGGAGUCUAACAUCUAUGCGAGUGUUCGGGCAUUAAACCCCUACGCGUAAUGAAAGUGAACGGAGGUGGGAACCGCAAGGUGCACCAUCGACCGAUCCUGAUGUCUUCGGAUGGAUUUGAGUAAGAGCAUAGCUGUUGGGACCCGAAAGAUGGUGAACUAUGCCUGAAUAGGGGAAGCCAGAGGAA